AAGAUGAAUAGUUUUUUUAAUUAUAAUUUUAUAUCUCAAGACUUCGUGUACUCAAAUAUUAUUUUAGUCUUUAAUUUUUAGUUUCAUCUCAUCCUCUAACCCAAUAAUCCUCAUUAUUGCCUAAUCCAUGUGUAUCAUUNCAUCAAAUGAGUGACAUUGNUAUUGCCUUUAGGUUACUAUCCAUCCUUCUUUUAAAAUCCUUGUAUCCUUUGGAUAGAUAUAAUUGUUCUCUAUCAUUCAUUUGGACCAGUUGGUAUAGUCUUACUCUUUCUUUUUUCUUAAAAUUUGCAUGUUAGUUUCAUUGAUGCCAUGGUGU
rnacentral:lncRNA from 1 species